UACGUAGGGUGCAAGCGUUAAUCGGAAUUACUGGGCGUAAAGCGUGCGCAGGCGGCUAUGCAAGACAGAUGUGAAAUCCCCGGGCUCAACCUGGGAACUGCAUCUGUGACUGCAUGGCUAGAGUACGGUAGAGGGGGAUGGAAUUCCGCGUGUAGCAGUGAAAUGCGUAGAUAUGCGGAGGAACACCGAUGGAGAAGGCAAUCCCCUGGACCUGUACUGACGCUCAUGCACGAAAGCGUGGGGAGCAAACAGG
rnacentral:rRNA from 1 species